AGCGAUGGCCAUACCACCCUGAACGUACCCAAUCUCAUCUGAUCACAGAAGCUAAGCAGGGUCAGGCCUGAUUAGGACUUGGAUGGGAGACUGCCUGGGAAUAUCGGGUGCUGUAGGCU
rnacentral:rRNA from 1 species